GAAAAAGUUGUGUCAUAAUGAUGUUUGCUAAACUUCACCCCUUUGGUUAAAAUCCAAAGCUUUUUCA
rnacentral:tRNA from 1 species